UACGUAGGUGGCAAGCGUUGUCCGGAAUUAUUGGGCGUAAAGCGCGCGCAGGUGGUUUCUUAAGUCUGAUGUGAAAGCCCACGGCUCAACCGUGGAGGGUCAUUGGAAACUGGGGAACUUGAGUGCAGGAGAGAAGAGUGGAAUUCCACGUGUAGCGGUGAAAUGCGUAGAUAUCAAGAGGAACACCUGCGGCGAAGGCGGGUAGCUGGGCCGACACUGACGCUGAUGCGCGAAAGCCAGGGAGCGAACGGG
rnacentral:rRNA from 1 species